CACGGACCAAGGAGUCUAACAUGUGCGCGAGUCAUUGGGUCUUGAUUAGGCCCAAAGGCGUAAUGAAAGUGAAGGGCGGUUCGGCCGUCUGCCUUGGGAUCCCGUGGACCUCGCGUUCGCGGGCGCACCAAGGGCCCGUCCCGGUCGCCUCGUCGACGGGGCGGAGCAAGAGCGUACACGUUGGGACCCGAAAGAUGGUGAACUAUGCCUGGGCAGGACGAAGCCAGAGGAAACUCUGGUGGAGGUCCGCAGCGAUUCUGACGUGCAAAUCGAUCGUCAGACCUGGGUAGGGGCGAAAGACUAAUCGAACCAUCUAGUAGCUGGUUCCCUCCGAAGUUUCCCUCAGGAUAGCUGGCGCUCGGAGGAUGCAGUCUCAUCCGGUAAAGCGAAUGAUUAGAGGCCUUGGGGUCGAAAAGACCUCAACCUAUUCUCAAACUUUAAAUGGGUGAGAAGUCCGGUUUGCUCGACUGAAGCCCGGACGGCAACUUGGAUGCGAGUGCCAAGUGGGCCACUUUUGGUAAGCAGAACUGGCGCUGUGGGAUGAACCAAACGCCCGGUUAAGGGGCCCGAUGCGAGACGCUCAUGAGAUCCCAUGAAAGGUGUUGGUUGCUAUAGACAGCAGGACGGUGGCCAUGGAAGUCGGAAUCCGCUAAGGAGUGUGUAACAACUCACCUGCCGAAGCAACUAGCCCUGAAAAUGGAUGGCGCUUCAGCGUCGACCCUAUACCGGGCUGCCGCGGCCGAAAAGCCUCGUGUUUUAAGCCGCGGUAAGUAGGAGGGGCGCGGAGGCGAGCGUCGAAGGUGCCGGGCGUAAGCCCGCCUGGAGCCGCCUCCGGCGCAGAUCUUGGUGGUAGUAGCAAAUACUCAAGUGAGAACCUUGAGGACUGAGGUGGAGAAGGGUUCCAUGUGAACAGCAGUUGAACAUGGGUCAGUCGGUCCUAAGGGAUAGGAGAAAUCCGUUCCGAGGCGGGACCUCUCUACGCAAGUCCCGCUGAUGACCGAAAGGGAAUCGGGUUAAUAUUCCCGAACCCGGACACGGAGAUCGUCCUCUUCGGAGGUACAUUGCGGUAACGCAAACGAGCUCGGAGACGUCGACGGGAGCACCGGGAAGAGUUAUCUUUUCUUUGUAAGGAUUCGACUCCCUGGAAUCGGCUCGCCCGGAGAUAGGGAUGGUGUUUCCGUAAAGCACCGCGCCUCUUGCGGUGUCCGGAUCGCUCCCGUCGGCCCUUGAAAAUCCGAGUGAGAGAUAGUGAUUUUCGUGCCGGACCGU
rnacentral:rRNA from 1 species